rnacentral:rRNA from 1 species
UACGUAGGGUGCGAGCGUUUAAUCGGAAUUACUGGGCGUAAAGCGUGCGCAGGCGGUCUGUUAAGACCGAUGUGAAAUCCCCGGGCUCAACCUGGGAAUGGCAUUUGGGACUGCAAGGCUGGAGUGCGGCAGAGGAGACUGGAAUUCCUGGUGUAGCAGUGAAAUGCGUAGAUAUCAGGAGGAAUACCGAUGGCGAAGGCAGGUCUCUGGGCUGACACUGACGCUCAUGCACGAAAGGCGUGGGGAGCAAACAGG